rnacentral:lncRNA from 10 species
UAGCAGCUGGGGACCUUUCUGCCACCACAAAAGCCUAGAUUAUCCUGAUGGACGAUGGAAGACACAUGGCUGUUGUUCCAGCUGACAUCAAGCCAACCACUGGACAAGAUAGGAAAGCUCUCCUAGAACACGAAGGCCCGAAUGAACUGGCCCAGAGCAGAGAAACUGCUCAGCCAAACUGCCAAGCUGUGAUUAACAAAGGCUUCAUCUUAAUCCACCAGAUUUUGGGGUGGUUUGUUACACAGCGAAUGCUAACUGAUACAGUCAUUAUCAUUAGGUCUUUCUUGAGCUGAUCAUACUUCCCAUACUCUUUUCCUCCCUUGAUCUGCUGUUAUUUGUACCUUCUGAUAAAUUUAUACUGAGCUAUUUAGCAUAGAAAUUAGGUAAUAGUCAGCUAAACCCAGUUCUUCCUCAGGCCAGUCAUUUUAUUAUACAAAAAUUAGCCAGGCAUGGUGGUGCAUGCCUGUAAUCCCAGCUACUUGGGAGGCCGAGGCAGGAGAAUCGCUUGAAUCCAGGAGGCAGAGGUUACAGUGACCCAAGAUCACACCACUGCACUGCAGCCUGGGCAACA